GACAAAGGUGGCAAGCGUUGUUCGGAUUUACUGGGCGUAAAGAGCGCGUAGGCGGUUGCAUAUGUCAGAUGUGAAAUCCCAGGGCUUAACCCUGGAGUGGCAUUUGAAACUGUGCGACUUGAGGACAGGAGGGGGAAGUGGAAUUCCCGGUGUAGCGGCGAAAUGCGUAGAUAUCGGGAGGAACACCGGUGGCGAAGGCGGCUUCCUGGACUGUCCCUGACGCUGAGGCGCGAAAGCGUGGGUAGCAAACAGG
rnacentral:rRNA from 1 species